ACCUCGGCGGUGGCGUCUUGCCUCAAGCGUAGUAGAAAACACCUCGCUUUGGAGCGCACGGCGUCGCCCGCCGGACGAACCUUUGAAUUAUUUCUCAAGGUUGACCUCGGAUCAGGUAGGGAUACCCGCUGAACUUAAGCAUAUCAAUAUAAGCGGAGGAAAAGAAA
rnacentral:rRNA from 1 species